rnacentral:lncRNA from 1 species
UGCUGUUCUAGGUGGGGACUUGAGAGACUGUAGAUGGGUAUAGGGAGUGGUCGAAUAUAAAUAAGCUAGAUUUUUUUUUUUUAAUUGCAAGGGAACUCCCUAGGAAUUCCAUCCAUGGCCUUGUGGAACGAUCUGCCAAAGAAAAAAUAUUUAUCUCUUGGCAGGCAUCUUUCACCCUGAAGUCACGGGAACAACGCUGAGGGGCAGCCAGAGAUUAUGUGGGCUUUUCCAUGGGAAGAACCACUCUAUGUUAUCACCUUCUACAUAGUAGCAGUUGAAGCCAAAUGGACAGAAAGCCCGAGACAACAUGAAGUUGUUCUACAAGUUAUUUUGGAGAAAUUGACUUACCAUACCACUCAUCAACCCAUGCAAAAGCCUGUCUAUGUCCAAUCAGCAGAAUGUCUCGGACCACCUAAAAAGUAAAAGAAGGAGAGUGAAAUAAUAGCAUCUUUGAUGAAAACUAUCUGGAAGACAAGUUGUUAACAAUGCUGGGGAUCUUGGUGAUGACAGAGUUCUUAAUCCCUCUGUCCAUAGGUGAUGACAAUUACAGGCUGCCUAUAGGUCCUAUAGUGCUCACACACCUCCAGCCCUUCCCCAUGGUGUACACACACUUGCAGUAUAUUCAUCUCCUUGUCUUAUUUGAGAGUAGGGCUGGGUGUGUGUACAAACUAAUGACAAAUACUUGACAGUCAC